CCUGACUGGUCUGAAGUGAUCCAGUCAGAGGGAGCCUCCUUCCCUCAGCGCGAGGUUAGUGGAGUGGUCAGGUGUGCCGAGCUCUUCCAAGAUUAAUCCACACUGCUGCUGCUCCUCGAGCUCCGAUCGUCUGACAUCUCUCUUCACACAAAACAGCCUGGCCUCUGAGGGAGAAUGCAGCCGAGGGAAAGGUGUGAAGAAGAGAGGAGUGUUAGACUGUGUGGUCCUAUCAGGGGGAGUGAGUGGAGAGCAGCCCUUAAUAAGGCCGAGUACAUCAGCAUUGCCCCGCACAGUGGGCCGGCAGAGAUUGAUGCUGCAGGAUUGGCAAGAAGAUCAAGAGGCAAUCCUGUCAAGUCAGAGAGACAGGCACUGCUACCUACACCAGCAAAGGUGGAACAGAGACGGCUACCAGUUCCAGCGCUCUCACUGACGGAUUAUGCUACCGAACAGGCAGAACAAUGAGAAGCACUUGAAGAAAAGAAAAAGGCUGCCUUGAAAAAAAGAAAGGCGUAGAGCAAGUAUGGUGAUGUAGAGAGGAAGGAGGGAACUGCUAACUUCAAAAUGGACAGGAAGUCAGCUAAAAUGAUGACAACGCUGACAGCAGCUUUAAGCUUAUGCUCUCUCACUUUUUUCUUGUCAGCACUUGGAGGUGCAUUGGAUGUAUGACUCUUGCUGUAUAAAUAGAGUUUGACUGAUUGAUAAAACAGAUACUCGGUGUAACUUUGAAGCGUAAAGGGUGUUGUCUGCUGAUUAAAACGGUGCCUCACCAAAUAC